AAGAGGGCAUAAGUCAAGUAUACUAGACCCGAAACUGGGUGAGCUUCCCAUGAGCAGGCUGAAGUAUAGGUAAAACUGUAUGGAGGGCCGAACCAAUUGGAGCUGCAAGUCCUUUGGAUGACUUGUGGGAAGGAGUGAAAAGCUAAUCGAACCCAGAGAUAGCUGGUUCUCCGCGAAAUAGCUUUAGGGCUAGCCUUGGUGAACUAUUAUAUAGGGGUAGAGCUCUGAUUGGGCUAGCGGGCUUCACGGCUUAGUCAACCCAGACAAACUUCGAAUACUAUAUAAAUUACACCAGGAGUCAGACGGUGAGAGAUAAGUCCCAUCGUCAAAAGGGAAACAGCCCAGAUUACUAUCUAAGGUCCCUAAUUAACAACUAAGUGGCAAAGGAUGUGGGGUUGCUGAGACAACCAGGAGGUUGGCUUAGAAGCAGCCAUUCCUUAAAAGAGUGCGUAAUAGCUCACUGGUCAAGCGACCCUGCGCCGAAAAUACAACGGGGCUCAAGUUGUUAACCGAAGAUGUAAAAUCGUAAGAUUGGUAGCGGAGCGUUCUGUAAGCCGCAGAAGGUGAGGGGUAACCCGAGCUGGAGGUAUCAGAAGCGAAAAUGUUGGUAUGAGUAACGAGAGGGAAAUGAAAACAUUCCCCAUCGGAAACCCAAGGUUUCCUACGCAACGGCAGUCGUCGUAGGGUUAGUCGGUCCUAAGGUGAAGCUGAAAGGCAAAGCUGAUGGAUACCAGGUUAAUAUUCCUGGACUACUUAUAUAACUGAAGGGGGGACAUAUUUGGAUAUAAGAGAUACUUAAUUACUUGUAUUACGAAAGCGAAACUAGGGAUAUAGGCAAAUCCGUAUUCCUAUUAAAGUUGAGCUAAGUUAAGUUGAUGGAAGCCAUUAUUGGUGGAAAGAUUCUGCUCUUACUAUAUUCAGGUAUCGAGAAAAGCCUCUAAGGGUUAAUUGUAUAAGUAACCGUACCGCAAUCAAACACAUGUGGGUUGGUGGAGAACACCAAGAUGAACGAGAAAACUAUGCUUAAGGAACUCGGCAAAACAGCGGUCGUAACUUCGGGAUAAGACCUGCCUAGAGUGUAAUUUACAAACUAGGCCGCAGCGAAAGAACUCAGGCGACUGUUUACCAAAAACACAGCUCUCUGCAAACUCGUAAGAGGAAGUAUAGGGGGUGAUGCCUGCCCAGUGUCAGAAGGUUACAUGGAUGUGUGAGAGCAUUGAAAUCAAGCCCUGAUGAACGGCGGCCGUAACUAUAACGGUCCUAAGGUAGCGAAAUUCCUUGUCGGGUA
rnacentral:rRNA from 1 species